CAAUAGCGUAUAUUAAAGUUGUUGCAGUUAAAAAGCUCGUAGUUGAAUUUCGGGUCCCCGCGCUCGGCGCUUCAUUGUGCCGUCGUGGUGUCCCUCCUCGCCGUAAGGCGUCCUUUACUGUGAAAAAAUUAGAGUGUUCAAAGCAGGCAAUCGCUUGAAUACAUUAGCAUGGAAUAAUAAGAUAGGAUCUUGUCUAUUUUGUUGGUUGCGGACAACGAUAAUGAUUAAUAGGGAUAGUUGGGGGUGUCCGUAUUGAGCUGUCAGAGGUGAAAUUUUUGGAUUUGCUCAAGACGAACUACUGCGAAAGCAUUCACCAAGGAUGUUUUCAUUA
rnacentral:rRNA from 1 species